CCCCAGACCUACUGAAUCAGAAUCAGCAGGGUGCAGGCCAGAAACAGAUGUUUCAGAAACUCUCUGGGUGAUUCUGAUGCACUGUAGUGUUUGAGAAGAACUACUUUAAAGUUUGCAGUUACUCCCAUGGACAUUGUAAGAGUUUUACCUCCAUCUUAUGAAGUAGAGAUGUUUUGAUCCAUUCUACAACGGAAUAAGAGAAGGCACAGAGAAUAUAAGUAAAUCUUCCUAGUCCAAGGAAGAAAGCUUUGAUCACUUGAAAUCCUGAAAGAGACUAAAAACGACACUGAAAUUGCCUUUGUGUGGAGAUAAUAAAUAUAAUUGGCCCAGUCAUGAAGAGUGUGCCUGUGAUAUUGGAGCAGCUGGUUAGCUAUGAUGGGAUCCAGCUGUCCCUGACACCCCACUUUAUGAAUCAACUGGAAAAGGAAAUGAGAGAGACAAGAGAGGCCAUGGAGUCAAAAGAACAGAAAGAAGCUACAGAAGCUGGAAUUUAGUAAAUAAAGAAGAGAGUUUUGUGAGAAGUUCAGAGAAGUAGCCAGAGGUUUGCUUAUGUAGAGUCUGGAAGUCAAUGGUAAAUUGCCUUCCUCCCAUUUGAAGUCCAAACCACACCCUCAACAUCCUCCUUUGUCUUUAGCUGAAGAUAGUAUUUAAAUUGGUGACUUCAGACAUUGUGGAGACUCAUACACUGUUUUGGCGAUGGCUUUUUAAUAAAGACCUCCAGAAGAAGUUGCAGGUCCAUCUAGUUGUGGGAUGUGGGACGCCGCCUCUACGUGGCCUGAUGAGCGGUGUCAUGUCCGCACCCAGGAUCCGAACCCUGGGCCCCUGCAGUGCAACUCUUCUUUCAGUGAAGUGCAUCCAUGUGAUUGAUUCUCACCAAUGUGGGCAGAGAGAUGUGUGUCGCUUCUCACCCUUCUCAUCCAUUGACUGAAUGCAGUGGACUUUCAGACCAUACAGAAGCCUGAAUCCUCAAGAGGAAGUGGCAGCUGUGGGAAUGUGCCUCUCAGAUCUCUGAGUAUGAGGAACGAGGUUGACUGAGGACCCCAGCUUCUAUGCUCUGAAAACUGUCGCUGUCUUCACACCAAGGCCAACUGUCAACCAUGCUGCCUGAAUAGUGACUGAGCUCAGCAAAGAUGCCAUGGCAGGCUCAUUCCUGAGAGAUGUGGGGCUUCUCUACGAGAGACUUUGACUUGAGGACUCCCUGUAGAUCUUGAGGAAACUUUCUUGAAUUGCCCAGAAUUCUAAGACUUUUCCUACCCAGUCUUUUUUCUCCUUCCCUCUCUCCUUUCAGAGGUCAGAAUUGCAUCAUGGUCAGAUGACUUUAGGGCCUCCUCCAGUUCCCUACACAUUUUUCCUUACCAAAUUUUCCUCAAUCUCUAAAAGGUCGAAUUCCAUCUUGGCAUCUGCUUUUCAGAGGACUCGAACUAACAUAAGUGAUGCGAAGAAUGGUAUAAGAUAAUGGGCAGUAAGAUGGGGUUCAUGGACUGGCAAAGAAGAUACCAUCCUGAGUCUCUGACACACAGUUCAUUUGCUAAAUAUUGUACUGGUAGUGAUGGGGAAAAGCAUCUUUGUGGAGGAAAAUACCCUUGUAGGUAUGAUGAUUCGGGCAUACGGAAGGUGAGAGGAGAGCAAUGCCCACAAAGGCAGUGGAGUGGUGGUUAAGGUUAUUGCUAAGUUGUAUUGACACUCUGCAGAGAGCUAAUAAAGAACCAAAGACCAUUAACAAACAGGUAAAGUCUUCAGGGUGAGAACCAGAGGGUCUCAUUGGGAGCUUACAAAGAGGCUUCUACCUCCUGCCGUGGAAGAGGGGACACAGCUGAGCAGCAGACAGUAAACAUAAGAUCUAGUAGAAUUUCAGAGCUCCAGAGACUUUAAAUACUCAGGUGGGAAGAUCUGUAAUGUUAAAGUUGGCCCUGGUUGAGAAAACUAGAGACCCUGAAACAUGGAACAGGGUAUCUUGAUAGAUGGCCUAAGGGAUGUUGGUUCUCCAGGUCCCUCUGAACCCUCAGAGAUCACAGAGGUGGAACUUCCCCUGUGUUGUGCUGGAAGACACUGUGGAAGCCCUUCUCCCCCUCAGCAGAUGCCCUCUCUUCCUCUCCUGGCUGGUAGGCUGGUGACUAGUGUCAAAUCCCUGCAUAAAAUGACUGGCCUAUUGCUGGGCCUGAUAAGAGAGGAAAGAGAUUAAUCAAA
rnacentral:lncRNA from 1 species